CAAAAUCUAAUCUUUGGAUUUCUUCUCUCUCAGAGUCUGCCUAUUCUUACUCCUUAUUUCUCUCGUCUCCUCCUCGUGGAGGAGCCUUUCUGGCUGCUCAGGCGUUCGCUGUGUGAACGAUAAUCGAAAAUGAAUUCUUGUGGGUAUCAGCGAAAGAGCGCCAUGGGAGGCUGUGAGGAGAGGAGGAUGAUGGAGGUAGACUCUAUGAUUUGCCCCAAGCCUCGUCGAUUGGGCCUUUCAAUUCCUUCCCUUCACGAUCAAUUCAGACCCUUAAGAUUAUCCAUCAGUAACCAGACUGACAUGGGAGAUUCUAUUGCUGGGCCUGAGCUUCUUGACAUAAUUCUCACUAAGGGAGGAUGUGGUGGAGAAAGAUCAGGUUACCAGGUAGCAUUAUCGCCACCAUUUUACUGUGGAUCACCCCCAA
rnacentral:misc_RNA from 1 species